GUAGGGAAUAUUGGGCAAUGGAGGCAACUCUGACCCAGCCAUGCCGCGUGCAGGAUGACGGCCCUCUGGGUUGUAAACUGCUUUUAUACGGGAAGAAAAAAUACUACGUGUAGUAUACUGACGGUACCGUAAGAAUAAGGAUCGGCUAACUCCGUACCAGCAGCCGCGGUAAUACGGAGGAUCCAAGCGUUGUCCGGAUUUAUUGGGUUUAAAGGGUGCGUAGGCGGAUCUUUAAGUCAGUGGUGAAAGCCUGCAGCUUAACUGUAGAAUUGCCAUUGAAACUGAAGAUCUUGAAUGUGGUUAAAGUAGGCGGAAUGUAUCAUGUAGCGGUGAAAUGCUUAGAUAUGAUACAGAACACCGAUAGCGAAGGCAGCUUGCUGAACCAUUAUUGACGCUGAGGCACGAAAGCGUGGGGAGCGAACAGGAUUAGAUACCCGGGUAGUCC
rnacentral:rRNA from 1 species